rnacentral:lncRNA from 1 species
AUCAACUGAGAUGCAAAACCCAUGUUCACAUCAUGAGUGAGUCUUUUAACUCGGACAAUGCAAUCAACAAAUUCUAAGACCAAAUUCCA